AGAAUGGCUAAAGAUCAGGCUGGCGCUCUGCAAAAUUGAACAGGCUCUGAAGUGGUACACAUUACCCGGCUAUGCGUUGGAAGAACCGAUCUUCGGGGUAGGGAAUCUAACGGCUCUAAAGAAUCGCUUCAAUGGACUAUACCCCUGAAAACAAAGUGACAAUUUUAGCCUGUGAAVUUUAUGAUGGUGCUAAUGCUACAAAGUCUGUCAAUUCUCCGGUAGCUUCCAGAGCCUGCAAAGAUGUAAACUUUUUUAUUCCUGUGUUUAGUUUUAAAUGGUUGGAUUAUCCGAUUUUCAUAACCCUUAUGAAUAAGCUGGACAGUCUCUUCCAAAAUCGCGAAUAGUUAAAGCGCUGGCCCAGGCUUUCCUUGAGACAUAGUCACGACCAAAAGGCCCGACGUAGGAUCUACCCCUGGAGUGAAAACUUACGGAGUUUUGAAGGACCUUGCAAGAGAGCCCGGCAUUUUGAUGAUGACUUGGAAACGGAUAAUGGUCAGGGCUCCACCAGACCUCUGGAUCUGUAAGAAAGGCAUCGUAAAAGACCUUAAUUGUGAACGGUUAUAAAAUGUAUGUACUUUGUCUUACGGCCGCUUACGAAUCAUUAACAGCAUUUCAUAAUUUAUGUUUUAGGGUCUAAAGCCGAGGUUUAAAAAGUCAAACAGACCCCUGUCUAGAAUGUUCCAACGUACAGAGGUGGUCUAUUUCCCGGUUAGUUUGUAGAAUAUAAUGUAAUAAGGUUUAGCCACACCAAGCCCUUUGUUUGAACCAAAUAACUUAGGAGUUAAAUAUAGCUGGGGUCUAGUCCUAAAAAAACGUCAAACCAAUGCUCUGUAAAAUCCUUCAGUCCUUUUCUCUAUAGUUAGGGCUACAAACUCGCUCGCCUGUUAGCUUCGUUUUAGUUCAAAUGCAAACAGACCCUACAGAAUCGUUAUCGGACUGACCCGUUAAAAUAGCAUCUUGGAAAAACCGCCUAAUGGAUCUUUCUGAAGGUGAGUUCUUGAAAUAUAAAUAUAUAGAUUUAUAUAGGACGUAUAUUAGAUUUGUCUGUUGUGUGGAAUUGUUUGAACAUUAUGUAUGUUAUAGCAAUAUUAAACAUGCAUUAGGGCCUGUAUUCUUAACGUAUAACAUGUCAAUAUUAUAUAAAGGGAUUAGAGCUUUAAUAUUGUCGAAUGUUUUAUAGAUUCUGAAGCAUUCACGCAGAUACUCCGAGGUAUAACUGAGCUCGAACCGCCCGUACGUUGCCUACAACCCAACGCCGUCCCAUUAUUGUAGACCGGACAUUCAGCCUAGAAGGAUAACUGACGCCAUAUGGAAUCUGAACGGUUUCUGCGGAGCAGAGGCCUCUGAGGCAAUUCUACCAUUCACCCCUGAUGUUUUAUUAAAAGGCAGAUCAAAUCCCCCGGGAACGUCCUACAUCUCGAACCCUUUAUCGAAAAACCAACGUACAAUUAGUGCACAGAUCCAUAGUUCCGCUUCAACCCCUCCAGAACAAUUCUACUGGGCCGGGAUUCACGAGACAUCGCUCCAACGACCCGGCUCCCCAGCUACCGAACCGGCAGAUGCUGUAAUACAGGUUGACCAAAGACAACUUCCCAUGGUUUCAGAGCUUCUUCAGAACAGCCCUCGUCAAAAAAGCCGAGACUCCUCCCCAGCGUAUAAAGACAUCGAACAAACAUUGGAGGAUUUUCAGCGCCCAGACACCAGGCAAUAAAACAGCGAAACCGGAUGAUUUCAAAGUGUUAAAUGACAUUUCUGAGGAUUUGAUGUUCUGUGAAGUGGCUUCUUCUUGAAUCGGCCAAUUCUGGGGUGGCAACAGCUGAUUCUGAAAUAGACCAAGCGAGGUUUUUCAAGGCUUUUACUCAGGGUUUAAGAUCACGAAAGGUUUUAAUGCAAAGACGUAUGUGUAUUCUACUAGAGCA